rfam:Schistosoma margrebowiei strain Zambia genome assembly, scaffold: SMRZ_scaffold0001160
AUCCAUCUAACGAAUCCUAAAUAGAACGAAACGCGCAUCCUGGAU